rnacentral:rRNA from 1 species
UACGGGAGGCAGCAGGGGGAAUAUUGCACAAUGGGCGCAAGCCUGAUGCAGCCAUGCCGCGUGUAUGAAGAAGGCCUUCGGGUUGUAAAGUACUUUCAGUCGUGAGGAAGGUGUUAAGGUUAAUAACCUUAGCAAUUGACGUUAGCGACAGAAGAAGCACCGGCUAACUCCGUGCCAGCAGCCGCGGUAAUACGGAGGGUGCGAGCGUUAAUCGGAAUUACUGGGCGUAAAGGGCACGCAGGCGGUUAAUUAAGUUGGAUGUGAAAUCCCCGGGCUUAACCUGGGAAUGGCAUUCAAGCUGGUUAGCUAGAGUCUUGUAGAGGGGGUAGAAUUCCAUGUGUAGCGGUGAAAUGCGUAGAGAUGUGGAGGAAUACCGGUGGCGAAGGCGGCCCCUGGACAAAGGACUGACGCUCAUGUGCGAAAGCGUGGGGAGCGAAACAGGGAUUAGAUACC